rnacentral:tRNA from 1 species
ACCACUUUUCCUCGGUGGU